ACAAAUCUGCUAUGCGGCCGAGUCUUCGGACUUGACGCAUAUAUUAGCCCCGAGCCUGGCAGUAAUGUCGGCUUUGGUUGGGUGGGACGCAAGUCCUGCUCCGGUUGUGUGAGGACGCAAGGUCCUUGCCAGCCACAUAGACGCUCGUAUGUUUGACAGAGUUACAGUUGUAAAACUAAAAUGA
rnacentral:misc_RNA from 1 species